rnacentral:misc_RNA from 1 species
GAUGAAGAACGUAGCGAAAUGCGAUAAGUAAUGUGAAUUGCAGAAUUCAGUGAAUCAUCGAAUCUUUGAACGCACAUUGCGCCCGUCAGUAUUCUGGCGGGCAUGCCUGUUCGAGCGUCAUUACGCCCCUCAAGUCCCCUGUGGACUUGGUGUUGGGGAUCGGCGAGGCUGGUUUUCCAGCACAGCCGUCCCUUAAAUUAAUUGGCGGUCUCCCCGUGGCCCUCCUCUGCGCAGUAGUAAAACACUCGCAACAGGAGCCCGGCGCGGUCCACUGCCGUAAAACCCCCCAACUUUUUAUAGUUGACCUCGAAUCAGGUAGGACUACCCGCUGAACUUAAGCAUAUCAAUAAGCGGAGGA